rnacentral:rRNA from 1 species
UCCGAAGGGGGCUAGCGUUGUUCGGAAUCACUGGGCGUAAAGCGCACGUAGGCGGCGCGUUAAGUCAGGGGUGAAAUCCUGGAGCUCAACUCCAGAACUGCCUUUGAUACUGGCGUGCUCGAGUGUGGGAGAGGUUGGUGGAACUCCGAGUGUAGUGGUGAAAUUCGUAGAUAUUCGGAAGAACACCAGUGGCGAAGGCGGCCAACUGGCCCAUUACUGACGCUGAGGUGCGAAAGCGUGGGGAGAAAACAGG